GACGAACUUUGGCGGCGUGCUUAACACAUGCAAGUCGAACGGAAAGGCCCUGCUUUUGUGGGGUGCUCGAGUGGCGAACGGGUGAGUAACACGUGAGUAACCUGCCCUUGACUUUGGGAUAACUUCAGGAAACUGGGGCUAAUACCGGAUAGGAGCUCCUGCUGCAUGGUGGGGGUUGGAAAGUUUCGGCGGUUGGGGAUGGACUCGCGGCUUAUCAGCUUGUUGGUGGGGUAGUGGCUUACCAAGGCUUUGACGGGUAGCCGGCCUGAGAGGGUGACCGGCCACAUUGGGACUGAGAUACGGCCCAGACUCCUACGGGAGGCAGCAGUGGGGAAUAUUGCACAAUGGGCGGAAGCCUGAUGCAGCAACGCCGCGUGCGGGAUGACGGCCUUCGGGUUGUAAACCGCUUUCGCCUGUGACGAAGCGUGAGUGACGGUAAUGGGUAAAGAAGCACCGGCUAACUACGUGCCAGCAGCCGCGGUGAUACGUAGGGUGCGAGCGUUGUCCGGAUUUAUUGGGCGUAAAGGGCUCGUAGGUGGUUGAUCGCGUCGGAAGUGUAAUCUUGGGGCUUAACCCUGAGCGUGCUUUCGAUACGGGUUGACUUGAGGAAGGUAGGGGAGAAUGGAAUUCCGGGUGGAGCGGUGGAAUGCGCAGAUAUCAGGAGGAACACCAGUGGCGAAGGCGGUUCUCUGGGCCUUUCCUGACGCUGAGGAGCGAAAGCGUGGGGAGCGAACAGGCUUAGAUACCCUGGUAGUCCACGCUGUAAACGGUGGGUACUAGGUGUGGGGUCCAUUCCACGGGUUCCGUGCCGUAGCUAACGCUUUAAGUACCCCGCCUGGGGAGUACGGCCGCAAGGCUAAAACUCAAAGGAAUUGACGGGGCCCCGCACAAGCGGCGGAGCAUGCGGAUUAAUUCGAUGCAACGCGUAGAACCUUACCUGGGUUUGACAUGGAUCGGGAGUGCUCAGAGAUGGGUGUGCCUCUUUUGGGGUCGGUUCACAGGUGGUGCAUGCCUGUCGUCAGCUCGUGUCGUGAGAUGUUGGGUUAAGUCCCGCAACGAGCGCAACCCUUGUUCACUGUUGCCAGCACGUUAUGGUGGGGACUCAGUGGAGACCGCCGGGGUCAACUCGGAGGAAGGUGGGGAUGACGUCAAGUCCUCAUGCCCCUUAUGUCCAGGGCUUCACGCAUGCUACAAUGGCUGGUACAGAGAGUGGCGAGCCUGUGAGGGUGAGCGAAUCUCGGAAAGCCGGUCUCAGUUCGGAUUGGGGUCUGCAACUCGACCUCAUGAAGUCGGAGUCGCUAGUAAUCGCAGAUCAGCAACGCUGCGGUGAAUACGUUCCCGGGGCU
rnacentral:rRNA from 1 species